rnacentral:rRNA from 1 species
AUUGAACGCUGGCGGCGGGCCUAACACAUGCAAGUCGAACGAGUGGCGGACGGGUGAGUAAUGUCUGGGAAACUGCCUGCUGGAGGGGGAUAACUACUGGAAACGGUAGCUAAUACCGCAUACCAUCGGAUGUGCCCAGAUGGGAUUAGCUAGUAGGUGGGGUAAAGGCUCACCUAGGCGAAGAUCCCUAGCUGGUCUGAGAGGAUGGCCAGGCCCACUGGAACUGAGACACGGUCCAGACUCCUACGUGAGGCAGCAGGGGGGAAUAUUGCACAAUGGGCGCAAGCCUUAGUCAGCCAUGCCGCGUGUAUGAAGAAGGCCUUCGGGUUGUAAAGUACUUUCAGCGGGGAGGCGUUACCCGCAGAAGAAGCACCGGCUAACUCCGUGCCAGCAGCCGCGGUAAUAC